GUCUUUCAGAUACGAAUUCCUAGUCGCUUAGACAAACCAGGGGUUUCUUCCAGUCACCAGUUACUUGUAUCCCAGCCAGCAGUCUUAGCUCCAGUUAUAGUCCCUUCUGUUAAUGAAACAGAUAUUUUCAGGUGUUUGUUGCCUGUAUUAUCCCACGUACAAUUACUUUGGGAACUGGUGUUGACUGCAGAG